rnacentral:lncRNA from 1 species
AAGUAUUUUGACAGAAUGUAGGUUUUGGAAAUGCAGCACCAUGUGGAUGAGGCAGGAUAUGAGAAGCUGGAAAGAAACGCGUGGAGAAGAAAGUUUUUAGGGUCAAAGACAGUGAUGAUCCCUCAAGGCCUGCAAACACUGGAAGCAGAGCUGGGGAGAGACCCAGAAACGUAAGCCCACGCUGCAUGCUGCAGAGCAGUGUGGCUGACGGGCGCUCUGGGGACGUGGUGGUGGUGGCAGAAGCUGCCCCAGCUGCUGGCUUGGCCCGAGAGGUGAGUUUGUAUCCUCUGCUUGCUGCCAUAACCUGGCUCGUGGGUUCCUGAGAAGGGCCACACAUUGCACUGCCUCUUGGCUGGAGACAUCUGUGGGGUUGCAGCUCAGCACGCAGCUUAGAGACUGAGUGCAGGGAAAGGCAGAGAAGGGAGAUCAAUAAAUCUCAAUAAGGGGCUAAGUGAGACAGUGGCUUAAGGGGAAGAUCCAGAGAGCUCGUAGUUAUC